CGCGGGUAACCUGCCCUGAAGUGGGGGAUAACAUUUGGAAACAGAUGCUAAUACCGCAUAGAUCCAAGAACCGCAUGGUUCUUGGCUGAAAGAUGGCGUAAGCUAUCGCUUUUGGAUGGACCCGCGGCGUAUUAGCUAGUUGGUGAGGUAAUGGCUCACCAAGGCGAUGAUACGUAGCCGAACUGAGAGGUUGAUCGGCCACAUUGGGACUGAGACACGGCCCAAACUCCUACGGGAGGCAGCAGUAGGGAAUCUUCCACAAUGGACGCAAGUCUGAUGGAGCAACGCCGCGUGAGUGAAGAAGGCUUUCGGGUCGUAAAACUCUGUUGUUGGAGAAGAAUGGUCGGCAGAGUAACUGUUGUCGGCGUGACGGUAUCCAACCAGAAAGCCACGGCUAACUACGUGCCAGCAGCCGCGGUAAUACGUAGGUGGCAAGCGUUAUCCGGAUUUAUUGGGCGUAAAGCGAGCGCAGGCGGUUUUUUAAGUCUGAUGUGAAAGCCCUCGGCUUAACCGAGGAAGCGCAUCGGAAACUGGGAAACUUGAGUGCAGAAGAGGACAGUGGAACUCCAUGUGUAGCGGUGAAAUGCGUAGAUAUAUGGAAGAACACCAGUGGCGAAGGCGGCUGUCUGGUCUGUAACUGACGCUGAGGCUCGAAAGCAUGGGUAGCGAACAGGAUUAGAUACCCUGGUAGUCCAU
rnacentral:rRNA from 1 species